UCACCUGUUUUUCAAAAACAUGUCUUAAAGAAUCUUAAUUUUAAGUCCAAUCUGCUCAAUGAAUUUAAAUUUUAAAUAGCUGCAGUAUUACUAACUGUACUAAGGUAGCAUAAUAAUUUGUUUUUUAAUUUAAAACUAGAAUGAAUGAUUAAAUGAAAUAUAAACUGUCUCAAAAUAAAUUUAUAAAAUUAUUUUUUAAGUAAAAAAACUUAAAUAAACUUUAAAGACGAAAAGACCCUAAGAAUUUUCUUAUUUAAAACUAAUUAAAUUUUAAUUUUAAAUAAUUUAAUUGGGGAAAUUUUAAAAUUUAAUUAAUUUUUAAUUAAUUUAAACAAUUAUUUUUGAACAAUUAAUAUUUUAUAAAAAAAUAAACUAAAUUACCUUAGGGAUAACAGCAUAAUUUUUUUUAAAAGUUCAAAUUUUUAAUAAAGUUUAUGACCUCG
rnacentral:rRNA from 1 species